UCUUGUUUACUCAUUUCCACACAUGUGCAUGAGUUUAUGUUUGGAGGGAGUCAUAGGAAUCCCUAAAACCCCAAUGUCUGCUUCUGACUGCUAAAUGUGGCGGAUGUGUGCAGGAUCUCACAUGCAGACCAAGUGUUUUGGCACAAAUAUUUACAUCAUUUUUUUUUUUUUUUUUUUAAAAAGCAUUUUAUCAUCCAAUUUCCUCAUCCUUCUAUCCAUGUUUGGGUUUGAUCUUGCAGAAAACAUAAUAAUGUCUGAGGGUUAAUGAGCCGUGUAAUUGUAUGCCCAGCAUGUUCAAGCAUUUAAAUUGUGAUGCUGGCAAAUGCCAAGACUUUUAAAGUCCUUUAUAAAUAAAAGCCCUGUUCACACACACAGUUACUGGACAACAUUUGCUGGACUAUAAAUAUCAUACAAUUUGAUAAGGUUUUUUUUUUGUGUGUGUGACUGGGGCAAAGUUUUUGAGUUAGAAUAUGGGACUUUCCCAUUUACUAGAAAAUCAUUCACAUACUGUGUAGUAGGGGGAAAUGUAGGAAAAAUUUAGUCAUUGGUAAAAUCUUGAAUUAAAGGUGCAGUGUGUAAAUAGCAGCAUCUAGCGGUGAGGUUGAGAAUUGCAAUAAAGAGAAGCUACAGUGGCCAACACAGCAGACAGAGACAGCAGAGAGUAGCCAGUCAAGCAAACACGCUCUGUAGAGUAGUUUGUCCGUUUAGGGCUACUGUAGAAACAUGCCUGCACAAAAUGGCGGCUUUAAUAUAAGGGGACCCGCGGUGUAUGUAGAUAGAAAUAGCUCAUUCCAAGGAAUUUUAGAAGAAACAUCUGAGACUUCAUUGACACUUAUGAGAUCUCAAAAGAGCAGCCUCUUGUCAUGAUUACAUGGGAAUGCUGGUGUUUACACCAGGGAGUGAUUCUGUUCCGGAUGGCGGAAGGAUGCAAGGUCAGCUGGUUCCCCUUCAAGUCAGGCAUCAUUACAGACGUCCUGCGGAGGCAGAAUGGCUUUCUAGAACGGACCAUUUCCAGGUUCUCAUGCAGUCAGAACAAAGAGCUCAGAGACUCACUUAGACAGCCAUGUGAUGUCAAAUAAAUGCACUGGAUGUAACAAAUGUUCACUUUUAAUCGCAUCCUCUCUUUACUAAAGAGCAAGCAUUAAUUUAUUCAAUAUCCUCUAAAAGUCUUUAAAGUGUACACUGAAAUCCCACCAGGGAUAACCUUUUAUGGCUCCAUCUUGUUGGUCUGGCAAAUAUGCCUCAUUCUUUGCUGUCCAGUCAUCUAGUCUGUUUGAAAAAUCUGGCAAACAUCUGGAAUUGGUCCCUACAUUUGCUAGGAUGUCAUGCCAGCCUAAGUAGUAUGAUGAUAGUGAAUUGCAUGUGGGUCAUACAUACCCGUCAUGCUGAGAAAUGAAGAUAAGGACUAAUAUUGAGUUAUUCAGAGUCAAACACAAUGUCUGCUCAUACAGUAAGCUUAUUAAAGGGUUAGUUCACACAAAAAUGAAAAUUCUGUCAUUAAUUACUCACCCUCAAGUCAUUCCAAACCCUUAAGACCUUUGUUCAUCUUCAGAACACAAAUUCAGAUAUUUUUGAUAAAAUCUGAUGGCUCAGUGAGGCCUCCAUUGCCAGCAAGAUAAUUAACACUUUCAGAUGACCAGAAAGGUACUAAAGUUAUAUUUAAAACAGUUCAUGUGACUACAGUGGUUCAACCUCAAUGUUAUGAAGCGACGAGAAUACUUUUUGUGCACCAAAAAAAACAAAAUAAUGAGUUUAUUCAACAAUAUCUAGUGAUGAGCGAUUUCAAAAUGCUGCUUCAUGAAGGUUUGAAGCUUUACCUACCUUUUGUUUCGAGUCAGUGGUUCGGAGCGUGUAUGCAAAUUCUGUCAUCAUUUACUCAACCUCACGUCGUUCCAAACCCGUAAGUCUUUCGUUCAUCUUCAGAACACAAAUGAUGAUAUUUUUGAUGAAAUCUGAGCGAUUUCUGUCCCUCCAUUGAGUCCACGCAACUACCACUUUGACGCUUCAAAAAGUUCAUAAAGAGAUUGUAAAACUACUCCAUAUGAAUUGAGCGGGUUAGUCCAAAUUUUUUGAAGAGAGACAAUCAAUUUAUAUGAUGAACAGAUUGAAUUUAGGCUUUUAUUCCCUUUUAUUUUUGGUGAACUAACCCUUUUAGCCACAAGAGGCUGUGCAUUACAGUGAUUUUACAGCAGUACAAUGGUAAGAUCACUGUAACGCACAGACUUGAAUGGCUUUUUUAACUUUUGAAUAGUUUGGGGUUUUGUAACACUUUAUAAUAAGGUUUCAUUAGUUAACAUUAGUUAACUGUAUUAGUUAACAUGAGCUAACAAUGAACAAUACUUCAGCAUUUAUUAAUCUUACUCAAUGUUAAUUCCAACAUUUACUAAUACAUUUUCAAGAUCAAAAUUUGUAUUUGUUAACAUUUGUUAAUGCACUGUGAACUAACAUAAACAAACAAUGAACAAUUAUUUUACUAAUAAAUGAGACCUUAAAGUGUUACUGAAUUGAUCAAAAAUACAAUAAAAAGUUACAUUGUUAAAAUAUUA